GCGCGGGUAGUACAAUGGCUAGUAUUUCGGCCUUCCAAGCCGACGAUCCGGGUUCGAAUCCCGGCUCGCGCA
rnacentral:tRNA from 1 species